GAAAUGCGAUAAGUAAUGUGAAUUGCAGAAUUCAGUGAAUCAUCGAAUCUUUGAACGCACCUUGCGCUCCUUGGUAUUCCUUGGAGCAUGCCUGUUUGAGUAUCAUGAAAUCUUCAAAGUAAAUCUUUUGUUAACUCAAUUGGUUUCUACUUUGGUAUUGGAGGUCUUUGCAGCUUCACACCUGCUCCUCUGUGUUCAUUAGCUGGAUCUCAGUGUUAUGCUUGGUUCCACUCGGCGUGAUAAGUUAUCUAUCGCUGAGGACACUGUAAAAGGUGGCCAAGGUAAAUUCAGAUGAACCGCUUCUAAUAGUCCAUUGACUUGGACAAUACUUUUAUGAUCUGAUCUCAAAUCAGGUAGGACUACCCGCUGAACUUAAGC
rnacentral:misc_RNA from 1 species